ACAAAACUAACCUAUUCAUCACAAUUUUCAUAUUUAAGGCUUCUAACAGCUGGAAGGGAUCAAAAGUUGGAUUUGUUGCCAUGAGGUUCUAUGCCAAGAUUAAAUUUAUUACGACAGGAAGACAGCGAUAAACUCCUCCAAUGAUGUAAACUCAUGGGCUCUACUCCGAAAAAACAUCAGGGGUUCGCCACUUAGUAGGCUGGUCAAACGGAGUCGCUACAUACCCCAAGAGGUGGGUGCAAGAGUUUGUGUUAAUUUUAUUUGGUCAAUGAAUGGUUGAGGUUGCAAAUGGCAAUCCGUAUUAUCAAAUUUACUCAGUCCCUGCAGUAUACUAUGUGGAUUUAUGCCGUCUGCUUGAAUUCCAUGAGGUUGCUGCUGGAUAUGAUUUUCUAAUGCUGUUAUUUUCUCAUGUGCUGUCUGCCAUUGAUUAUUGCUUGCAACUUUAUAAGUCUUUACCUCUUGAUUUAAUUGAGUUAGAGUGGAUUUGUGUAUUUGCAGAGUUCCAUUUAAAGCUUUACAUGUUUCUGUGUUCUGAUUAAGAUUACCUUGCAAUUGGUUCAUUUGUGUGUAUAUACUGGUUUGUUUAUUUUGUAUAGCUGUGAUACUAUAAGUAUUUUUAUCCACUGUAGUAGAGAUAUUUUGGUUAGCGGCUGUAAUCUGUUUUUUUUUAAUUUCCUGUUGGCAAUCAGCUUUAAUGCUGGUUGUUAUUUCCUGAAUAGGUGCUGUGGAUUGUAUUACUAGACUAUCUAUCCUUGGAAAAUGUUAUUAUUCCAAUUGCAAACUGUUGGCAACUGUUGAUUCUAUUAAAUCACUAGCCGUCAGGCUCGCUUCGCUCGCCAUAUCCGUCUAGCCAGGGG